rnacentral:rRNA from 1 species
GUGCCUAACACAUGCAAGUCGAACGGGGAUUUGUUUCGGCAGAAUCCUAGUGGCGAACGGGUGAGUAACGCGUAGGCAACCUGCCCUCCGGCCGGGGGACAACACUCCGAAAGGGGUGCUAAUACCGGAUACGAAGUCUGUGCCGCAUGGUACGGAUUUGAAAGAUGGCCUCUAUUUAUAAGCUAUCGCCGGGGGAUGGGCCUGCGUCCGAUUAGCUGGUUGGUGGGGUAACGGCCUACCAAGGCGACGAUCGGUAGCCGGUCUGAGAGGAUGAACGGCCACAUUGGGACUGAGACACGGCCCAGACUCCUACGGGAGGCAGCAGUGGGGAAUCUUCCGCAAUGGGCGCAAGCCUGACGGAGCAACGCCGCGUGAGUGAGGAAGUUCUUCGGAACGUAAAGCUCUGUUGUUCCUGACGAACCUCCCCUCUAUCAACAACGGAGGGGACUGACGGUAGGGAACGAGGAAGCCACGGCUAACUACGUGCCAGCAGCGGC